GUUGUAUUUGCUUCAGCAGCACAUAAGAUCAGAACAAUAUAGACAAAUUAGCAUGGUCCCUGCACAAGGAUGACAUGCAUAUUUGUGAAGCAUUCCAUCUUUUU
ensembl:snRNA U6 U6 spliceosomal RNA